GACGAGGUGGCCGAGUGGUUAAGGCGAUGGACUGCUAAUCCAUUGUGCUCGAAUCCCAUCCUCGUCG
rnacentral:tRNA from 1 species